AGUGGCAAAGAGCAACCAAAGAACUACAUGUAAGUGUUUCACUGCUUCAUCCCAGAGAAGGCACAAUAUCAAUAUUGCCCACAUUUCAUGACCAUAUCAUAUCAUAUUAGCCUCCCUACUGAUUUAUCAGUGAUGAAAUUGGACACACUCGAUUUUCCUCCCACUGGUAAUAUUUGCAGUCAGCAUGAAUAGACUUUCUCAGUACAGUUUUCAACUCCUGGCACAACAGUAUCCUUUUUCCAAACUAUAGCAUAAAUCACAGAAAAGUAUCUCCUCAUUUGUUUGGGAUGAGUUUUAAUUCAGAAACAAUUUAUAGUAAUAUUCUAAGAGACUGACUGAAUUUGCUUUCCCAACUGAAAAAGGAAUCAACUAUUUGUUAUUAUUUAAUGAAGCUUUGAAGCAUGAGGAAGUCAAUUAUUCUUCAGUGCAGUGAUGUACAAAGGGGACUCCUGCAUUUUCCCUGUUCCCUGAAGAGAUUAAGAACUUCUGAGUGGAGACAAACGGGAAAAAAUAUUGUUUGUGGAACCUUGCCUAGGCUUGAUGAGAAGGAGGAAAGAGCUCUUACAGCUAAAACUAAUCAGUAACUGUGGUUUCUCCAAACAUGGAAGAAUUUUCCAUCAACAGUCACAAUGGGGAGUGUCUAGUUGGACCAUCAUGGAAGAUGGAUGGGCCUCAAGAAGGUUAGCAGGAUUAAAUGAAGCAAAAAGGAUGGAGCCCUAAUUCAAUAGGAAUGAUGUGAUUAUAAGAAGAGAAAGAGACACCAAAGCACAGAGGCAAGAUGGUGUGAGGACACAAUGGGAAGGUGGCAUCUGCAACUAAGGAGAGAAGCUUCUGGAUAAACCAAAUUUGCUGACCUCUUAACCUUGGACAUCCAGUCUCUAGAACAGUGAAAAAAUUAAUUUCUGUGGUUUAAACUACAUAGUCUUUGCAACUUUGUUAUGGCAGCCCUGGCAGACUAUCAGAAAUGCAUUAAGAUGUUCACAAAAAGAAAUGUACAAAAUGUUCUUAGCAACAUUCUUGUAUUUGGUUAUUCUGAGAAUAACCAAAGCCUAAAAACAGUCCAGAUGUCCAUCAAGUGUAAUUUGUAUAAAUUAUGUUUAUUUAUUCCAAACAAUGUAAUUUGGCAAUGAAAACUAACAGAUUACAGCUAGACACAGCAACAGGAAUAAAUCACAAACAUAAUGUUGAGCCAAAGAA
ensembl:lncRNA LINC01069 long intergenic non-protein coding RNA 1069